UCCUCUAGAACUUUUUGCAAUUCUGCUUCACUCUCCCAAACUCUACUUCUUGUGGUUCUAACCCUAGGAGCAGGCUUAGGUGAUGAAGUAUUACUUUUCUUGGUUUGUUUCGACACACCAGGGGUCCUUUGUGAGGAUGCCUUGCAUUUCUCUAGGUAAUAACUAGCCCCAACCUUUUUCUGCAUAUCGACCAAAGUUUCUUCUGUAGAUGAACCAGGUCCAUCUUAUUGUUCACUCAGAUUAACUAAUCCCUCAGCAACUUCUCCUGAGCCACUUCCCCCUGACUUCGAGCCUCCCUCUUCCCCAGUACCAUAUAUAGCUAACAUUUCCUUCUUCUUUUUCUUCCUCAUUUUCCCAGACUCAGCCACAUCAACAUCUUU
rnacentral:lncRNA from 1 species